rnacentral:rRNA from 1 species
ACAUUUGGAAACAGAUGCUAAUACCGCAUAACCAUUCAGACCACAUGGUCUGAAUGUAAAAGACGGCCUUUGGCUGUCACUUUUGGACGGACCCGCGGCGUAUUAGUUAGUUGGUAAGGUAACGGCUUACCAAGACAAUGAUACGUAGCCGACCUGAGAGGGUAAUCGGCCACAUUGGGACUGAGACACGGCCCAAACUCCUACGGGAGGCAGCAGUAGGGAAUCUUCCACAAUGGACGAAAGUCUGAUGGAGCAACGCCGCGUGAGUGAAGAAGGUUUUAGGAUCGUAAAACUCUGUUGUUGGAGAAGAACAGGGACUAGAGUAACUGUUAGUCCUUUGACGGUAUCCAACCAGAAAGCCACGGCUAACUACGUGCCAGCAGCCGCGGUAAUACGUAGGUGGCAAGCGUUGUCCGGAUUUAUUGGGCGUAAAGCGAGCGCAGGCGGUUUUUUAAGUCUGAUGUGAAAGCCUUCGGCUUAACCGAAGAAGUGCAUUAGAAACUGGGAAACUUGAGUGCAGAAGAGGACAGUGGAACUCCAUGUGUAGCGGUGAAAUGCGUAGAUAUAUGGAAGAACACCAGUGGCGAAGGCGGCUGUCUGGUCUGUAACUGACGCUGAGGCUCGAAAGUAUGGGGAGCGAACAGGAUUAGAUACCCUGGUAGUCCAUACCGUAAACGAUGAAUGCUAAGUGUUGGAGGGUUUCCGCCCUUCAGUGCUGCAGCUAACGCAUUAAGCAUUCCGCCUGGGGAGUACGACCGCAAGGUUGAAACUCAAAGGAAUUGACGGGGGCCCGCACAAGCGGUGGAGCAUGUGGUUUAAUUCGAAGCAACGCGAAGAACCUUACCAGGUCUUGACAUCCUUUGACCACUGUAGAGAUACAGCUUUCCCUUCGGGGACAAAGUGACAGGUGGUGCAUGGUUGUCGUCAGCUCGUGUCGUGAGAUGUUGGGUUAAGUCC